UGGCAGCAAAAGGUAAUCAUCAUAGUGC
rnacentral:piRNA from 1 species